rnacentral:rRNA from 1 species
GAUGAACGCUGGCGGCGUGCCUAAUACAUGCAAGUCGAGCGAACAGACGAGGAGCUUGCUCCUCUGACGUUAGCGGCGGACGGGUGAGUAACACGUGGAUAACCUACCUAUCAGACUGGGAUAACUUCGGGACACCGGAGCUAAUACCGGAUAAUAUAUUGAACCGCAUGGUUCAAUAGUGAAAGACGGUUUUGCUGGCACUUAUAGAUGGAUCUGCGCCGCAUUAGCUAGUUGGUAAGGUAACGGCUUAUCAAGGCAACGAUGCGUAGCCGACCUGAGGGGGUGGUCGGCCACACGGGAACUGAGCCACGGUCCAGACUCCUACGGGAGGGAGCAGUAGGGAAUCGUCCGCAACGGGCGAAAGCUUGGCGGAGCAACGCCGCGUGAGUGAUGACGGUCUUCGGAUCGUAAAACUCUGUUACUAGGGAAGAACAAAUGUGUAAGUAACUAUGCACGUCUUGACGGUACCUAAUCAGAAAGCCACGGCUAACUACGUG